AUUGAACGCUGGCGGCAUGCCUUACACAUGCAAAUCGAACGGUAACGGGCCUUCGGGUGCCGUCGAGUGGCGAACGGGUGGGUAAUACAUCGGACCGUGCCCGAUCGUGGGGGAUAACGCGGCGAAAGCUUUUCUAAUACCGCAUACGACCUACGGAUGAAAGCCGGUGACCGGAAGGCCCUGCGCGGACGGAGCGGCCGAUGGCAGAUUAGGUAGUUGGUGGGAUGAAAGCUUACCAAGCCGUCGCUCUGUAGCUGGUGGGAGAGGAUGAUCAGCCACACUAGGACUGAGACGCGGCGCAGACGCCUACGGGAGGCAGCAGUGGGGAAUUUUAGACAAUAGGCGCAAGCCUGAUGCUGCCAUGCCGCGGGCAGGAUGAAGGCCUUCUGGUUGUAGACUGAUUUUGUACGGAACGAAAAGCCUUCUUUUAGUACAGGAGGGUCUUGACGGUACCGUAAGAAUAAGCGCCGGCUAACUACGUG
rnacentral:rRNA from 1 species